rnacentral:rRNA from 1 species
UACAUAGGGUGCAAGCGUUGUUCGGAAUUAUUGGGCGUAAAGCGCGUGUAGGCGGCUUUGCAAGUCGGGUGUGAAAGCCCUCGGCUCAACCGAGGAAGUGCGCCCGAAACUGCAGAGCUUGAGUACCGGAGAGGAUGGCGGAAUUCCCCAAGUAGAGGUGAAAUUCGUAGAUAUGGGGAGGAACACCGGUGGCGAAGGCGGCCAUCUGGACGGAUACUGACGCUGAGACGCGAAAGCGUGGGUAGCAAACAGG